ACCAGCUUAAUGUUCAUAUCAAUCUUCCCAAACAGAUAUUGGUUCUUGGAUUGAAAACCAGAGCCGGAGAAUUUGUCGAGGGUGAGAGUGAGAAGGUUUCCGUUUUCGAGAAUCUUGCCCCUCCCAUCUCCCCAAGUAACGUCGAUGUCUUGGUUAAAGUUGGCGGCUGAAGCAACCAUUACAAAGCUGAUUAAGGCAGAUAGUAGCAGCAAUGAAGUCCUCAUUUUUUUUGGUAGGUUUGUAUUAUGAUGUUAGGAAAUGGGGGAGUGAUAGAGGGUGGUUAUAUAGGGGAGGUGGAUUUGGUGAGAAAGAUGAAGAGAGAAGCUUCGUGGUAUGUGUUACCGUCGGGACAUUGAGUGAAUCAAAGUUGUAAACAGCUGGAAACAUAAAGAGAAAGAAAGAAAAGAAAAAGGUCCAAAUCAAUAAUACUGAGGGGUGUUGCUUGGAAGUUGGUACCAAUAUGCAUGUAUAAUUUAUGGAUUUGGUGCCGCCUUUCCAUGUCUGGUUACUGUGCAUUUGCAUGUCAGGAAUUGAACCGGCAGUUGAAGCAGUAAAACUUUGAUUCAGAGUUUCAACUUUAAAAUAAUUAAUAUUCAUUAUAUCCAUCAGUGUAAUAAACAUAUCACAAUCAAAACACACUGUAAUACACUCACCAAUCCCAAACGAGGUUGGGGUUUGGAGGCCAGAACCCAACUGUUUAUACGCAGGCUUAUACGUUGUGCAAUUUGAGUGAACCACAAGAUUUCAUUAGCCUAAAACCAGUGGUGUUAAUUAAUGUGAGUCAUUGUCAUAUUGGCUGACUAAUUUUUGGGGACCAAACCAGAACUCAACCACUGGGCUCAUCACGUUAAUCAAAACAACUAUUAAUUAUUAAUUAUUAAUUAAAUCCAUUACAAAAAAUGCCUGACCAUAACUAUUUUCUUUUCAUUUAUUAUCUAGACUGAAAUUUGAAUCCUUAAUUCAAAAAAGUAAAAUCCAUUGGUGAAUUACUUUGUGUUUGAUUAUUUCAAGGAUUUCCGUAAUGAAAAAAAUCUUAACUUUUGAACAAGUCAAUUGUUCUAGAAAUAUCUUAAAAAGUCAAGUAAUAAUAUACAUUCUAAAAAAAACUAAAAUUGAUAAAUCAAUAAUCUAUUAAAUAUUAAAUUUAGGUGUUAUUUGAUAAAUUAAAAAAAAUUAAAUGUUCAAAAAUUAAGUAUUGAGUUUAAGUUAUAAAAUUUGUUUGAUAUAUUACUUAAAAUUAGUUAUGGAAUAUAAUUAGAUUGUUUGAUAAAUAUAGAUUUUAAAUUAUAAAAAAUUAUAUUCUACAUUUUAUCUUUAAUUUUUAAACAUUUCACCUUAUUCUAAACAAAAAUUAAAAUUUCAAACGUAAAAUUUUUAUAAAAAAUAUAACAUUACAAAAAACUAAAAUUAAAAUAAUUGAAAAUAUUUUCAAUUAAGUGAUAAAUAAUUUUUAUCUACUUAUUAUUUUUCACAUUUUUUUAUAAGGAAUUCUAACAUAUUGCCUUAAUUUUCAACUUUUUAUCAAAGAAGGUCUUAGUCAUGAUUUAAUUAAAAUUUAACAUUGUAUUGUGCCCUCUUCUUUUCAUAGAAAAAGCCUAGCUAUUCAACUUUUUCAAAUUAAAUCUUUACUCUGUGGGCAGCGGCGCUGGCCUUCAAGCUUGUUGCUAAUCACAAUUCCUCUUAACAAUUUUUGUAGUUUUAUUUUGUUUUUAAUUUCAAUCUACAUUAUUGUGGUUUUGUCUACAGUUUUGUGGUUUUAUUUUGUCCACAUUUUUUAUGGUUUUUGUUUUGUCCACUUUGUUUUCUUUGAAAAUAGUGGUGGUUUUAUUUUUACAUUUAAUUUUUUAGUCAUGUUCUAACAGGUAUGUGAGAUAUUGUAACACCCCCAACCCGUAUCCGUCGCCGGAACUGGGUUACGGAGUAUUACCGGAUAUAUCGGAUAACUUAUCACUAAUUCACAAAUAAAUAACAUACAUAGCAUACUUUAAUCAAUACAUUACCUAGAUAUUAGAUACAUGCCACAAUAUCAAAAGAAAGGCACAUCACUAAAAUUCACUAAUUCAAAAAUAUUUUUAAAGUCACGCUUAACUUAUAAUUAUUAAUUAAUAAAUUUUUCUAACUUUUUGAUCGAAUUUAGUGAUCUCAAAUCACUGUUCUGACACUACUGAAAAUUGAGCUGUUACAACUCUUCCCCCCUUAAAAAUUUUCGUCCUCGAAAUUUCUCACUGAUACAAGCUAUUAAGUCAAAUCUUUCUUCCACCUUUUUUAUCGAAGUCCAUAAAAUUAAUCAUAACUCAUAUCACUUCCGAACUCAUAUCAAAACUCAUUUUAGAACUUGAUACUAUGACUGAACUUAAUUGAGUAGCUCUGAUGUUCUCCUGUCAUCACUUUCUCACUAGUAGUAUAACUACCGAGAAUUUCCAGUAAUCGUCAAUCAAAACAUAACUGAGAAACCCGUAUUAUUAAACUCUGACUGAUAUUUUUGACGUGGUUGCAUCUGUAACUUUCAACUGAUAUUUGUUUCUUUUUUUUUCCAUGAAAGCGUCAAGUAAUAUCAUUUUACACAACUGCAAUAACUUCAACAACAAGGACAACUUUAACCCAUAAUAAUAUUUCCCGAUUAAAACUGACCUGAUAGAUAUAUUUCUGUAUCAAGUCUUCUAGAAUCUGAUUUUUUCAUUCUGAUUGUCCUUCUAUUUACCCAUGAAUACACAAAAUUUAUUCCCGGUCCUGAGAAUAGACUCAAAUGCAUAAAAACCAGUUGCCUACGGAUUAUCCUUCAUCCUUUAUCCAGCAGAGCCAUCUCUUGCAAUCUAUGAACCUGAACCAUCUUAUCUAAUACCUUCGAACGAAGACCUUGAAAACCCAUCCAGCCAGAAAAAAGCAGAUAAUUUAAACCCAUUGUGAAGACCCAAAAUGUACUGAUUCCAUCAGUGAUUAUAACUCAAUUAACUUUUCAAUGAAUAACCCACUUUGAUUAGAACAACUGAGUCGAUUUUAUCUAUCAGAUAAUAACAUUUCAGAAUAAUCCAUUCUUCUUGUUGUCAAAACAAUCCAGAUAUACCAUAUAUCAUAAUUUUCUCGGAAUAUCAACAGAAAUUUACCACAAACUGCAUUAACUCAAACGAAUUAUGACAUCUCAUUAUUGACUUGCUGACAUAAUUCAGGAUUACCUGAGAAAUAAAAACCAAUGUACAAAUUUGAGCUCAAUCUUCCACCAUCUACUCUUUUUUCGAUGUCAACCCUUUCAUGAAAACUGGAAAAGAAUUAUAUAUAAUAAACCUAUUUCAAUUAUAAUCAUCGAAGCUUUGAACUAUACCGAAGCCACAACCAUCAGAUAGAUUAAAAACUAUAGAGCAAUAAUAGGACUGGCGUUCCAACUGUAUAGAUAGAACAAUACCUCAACAUCAAUAGUGAAUUCCAAAAUAGAUGAAGAAAAUCGAAAGGAGUCCCAUUAACAACCAGUGCAGUAAUACAACUUCUAUAAUAUGAUAUCCAUAUCACCGAGCUACCAUGAUUGAACCAAAAUUAAUAACAGUAAUAAAUAUAACUACCUCCGGCCAAUGAAUAACUUUUAUAGAUGAACCAUGUUUAAUAAAUAAGAUUAGACCAUAAGAAUGAUAAGAAAACCGAGAUAAUAAAAUCCAAGAUGUGAAGCUAUACUGAAUUUUCGAGAAUAAAAACCACAUUGAAUGAUAAAGAGAUCGAUGAUAUCCCAGAGAAAAUUCAGAAGAAGAAUAUCGCUCGUACACACUAAAAAUAGUUGUGAUAAAGACAAUAUAAAUUCCAUAUAUGUAAUUCGGAAAAUUCAACCAGUAGAAAUAGAAAAUAACUUCAUAUGAUUCUUAUCAUCAAGUCUUCUAUCAAACAUAAUAGAUUAGAAAACCAAAGAAAGAUAGAACAAUGCCAAUCAUAAAUCAACCAGACUAACAAUACUUCCAGCUAACAUUAUGUUUAACCAAACUUUCUAUAUGAUAAGAAUCACAUCUGAAAAUAAACAGUUGAUGCUUCUUUAUUUGUUCGGGUCGUACUGGUUCAACGUUGUAUGUUCUUGUGUACGUUGAUGAUAUUAUUGUUACAGGUGAUGUGCCUUCUGCUAUAGAGUGGUUUGUUCAAUUGUUAAAUAGUAAGUUCUCGCUUAAGGACAUGGGCGAUCUUCAUUACUUUCUUGGGAUAGAAGUUACUCGUUCUUCAUCAGGCUGUCUUCAUCUAUGUCAGAAGAAGUAUAUACGUGAUAUUCUUAUUCGGUGUUCGAUGGAAAAUGCGAAGAGUGUUAAUACACCGAUGAUUAGUUCCUCUAUCAUGACUAGAGAUGGUGGUGAGCGUUUAGAGGAUCCGACUGAAUACAGGAGCCUUGCUGGAGCAUUACAGUAUGUCACUCUUACGCGGCCUGAUGUUGCAUACGCUGUAAAUCGAAUAUGUCAGUUUAUGCAUUGUCCCACUUCUGUUCAUAUGACUGCUCUAAAGCGUAUUUUGAGGUAUCUAGGUGGAACGAUUGAAUUUGGGAUUGUGUUUCGUCCGUCCACUAGUUUGUCAUUAGUUGGGUAUGCUGAUGCAAACUGGGGGUUAGAUUUUGAUGACUGGAGGUCUACUACUGGGUACUAUGUUUAUUUCGGAUGUAAUCCUGUGUCGUGGUGUACGAAGAAACAGCAGGUUGUUGCUCGGUCUACUGCUGAGGCAGAAUACCAGAGUCUUGCCGCGGUCACUAGUGAGGUUACAUGGCUUUUGUCGUUACUUCAAGAAUUACAUGUUCAGUCUACUAGUAUUCCCAAUAUUUGGUGUGACAGUUCUGGUGCGGUUGCAGUUGCUACUAAUCCUGUUGUUCAUUCAAAGUUUAAGCAUGUUGAAUUAGAUUUAUUUUUCGUUCGUGAAAAGGUUGCUGAUGGUACUGUUGCCGUUGGUGAGGUUCCGGCGUGUGAUCAAGUUGCUGAUGUUCUCACUAAGCCACUUUCGCUAUCGAUUUUUGCUCGUUUUCGAAAUUUCCUACGGGUCUUGCCUGUGGAGAAGAUGGAUGAAUAUUAGAGUAUAGAGAGUUGUUAGUUAGUUGUGAAUAUGGUAGAAGGUUGUUGCUUAGUAUGGAGCAGUUACUCAUGUCUAUAAAUACUGUACAUCUGUAUUCAGAGAGCAAGGAUUUUUGAAUAAACAAACAAAGAAGUUUAUUCUUCAUUUUCUAUUUUGUUCUCUGUUUGGCUAGAUAUUUCUUUCUAUUUUAUCUAGCUCUUUCAUUCUCGAAAGGCUAGGCUAGUAACACUUUUACUCUACGAAAGAAAAACUGAGCCACCACAAACCAAGGCAUCCCCCCCCCCCCCCCACAAAAAAAAAUUGUAACUAAACAUCUUGUGAAAAUUCUUAAAAAAAUUAUAAAAAAUUAAAAAUUUUAAAUUUUAUACUGCAGUUUUUUAAUGAUUUUUACAAUUUUUAGUUAACGAUUAUUUUACAGUUUUUUUAAGAAUUGAGUAUUUUGUUACAAAAUUGUGUUUUUUCUCUAGGAAUUUGAGUAUUGGCAAAAUUAGGCAAAAAUGCCACUUUUAAUAAAAAAAAUUAGGAAAUCAAGAUCAAAUUGAUAAAAUAUGUAAGUAUUGAGGACUAAAUAUAUUAUUAUACCAGUUAGAAAAAGACUUUUGAUUAUCAAUUUAACGACAAGUAAUCAAAAUAAAAAUAAAUUCAAACAUUAAUACCUAAAUUAAAAAAUUUUAAAUUAAGUAACCAAAAUAAAAAAUGCGAGCAUAAUUAAGUAAAUUAUCAAUUUAUCCGAAUUUAUAUUAUAUUUAUUAUUAAUAUAUCAAAAUUUAUAUGAAUGUUAUAUUAUUUUAAAUCAUUUUGAGCUUCUAGUCAGCUACUAAAUGCGAAUAUAUAAUGUUGUGGCAUGGCCCAUCGAGGUCUUGCUUCGAAUGGAUGUAUGUUGAUAUAUGUCUCUCACCAACUUCAAAGUCGGCUGGCACACCAAACACGAACAAAUCAUUGGCAAAAUAUCACAAUAUAUAUCCCGAGGUGUCACAUGCGAUUUUUCUAUAGGUUUUCUUUAAGUAAGUUGACCAUAGGUCUACGGUAGCAACUGGAUACAUUUUCAAUCAGAAAAUAUUAAUAUAUACAUAUUUUAUAUAUGAAUAUGAUAAAAUAUCAGAUUAAUUUAAAAAUUUACAUAUAUAACAAUUACAAUUAUAUCAAUAAUUGUAUUGUUAAAAUAUUAUUUGUAUAAAAAAUUAUAAUAUGAUUUUAAUUUUAGAUGGAUAAAAACAGAUUUCGUAGUUGAUUAUUGAGCUUAUAUUAUUAAUUACACCUAUAUAUUUCCCUGGUUAGAUGUUUUGACUUCAAUCAGAGAAACAUUAAAGUAGUAUAAUUUCCGAAACUGAAUAGUAUUAUUUAUUGAGCUUAGUUUUACAUGUUACAAAACAUUGACUGAAACAAAAGAAUACUGUGAGGCUGCUUUUGAACAAAGUAUCUGUCCUUCGGCAUGACUAGCGAUGGGAAUCUUAAUCAACAAAUUAAGAAGCGGUGCACUCUUUAGGAAGUCCCAUAGGAAAUCGCUUGGUGUCGGUGCAGUAAUUGUAAAUCAUAUAAUUUUUCUGAACCCAUUUGAGCCUUUGUUGGCUCGCUAUAUCCAGUUCUUGCGAUAGCCAUGAAUUUUGGGAGGGUGAUGAGGUGUAGGAACAUGAUGAUUUACCGGAAGACCAGACACAUGCAUCAGCUUUGAAAGUCCUGUAAGAAGCAGUGAAAGGAGCUAGGCUCCAAUCCGUCUUAACAAGACCACCUCGAGUGGCCCAAUCAUCGGCGUUCCAAAGACUCGAAUACACUCUCAUCGGCUGGCUCUUUGGGAACGCAACGCCCUUUGAUUCCAAGUUCUUGAACUCUCUAAUUGGUGUCCCAUCAACAGAGAAGCUGUAAACAUUCAAAAGAAUCACAAUUAAACAUACUGAAAAUAAUCGAAACUGAAACGUUUUUAGAAAAAUGGGAUUGUAUAAUAAGACAUACAUAAUACGUUGAGGGAUCCAAAGAAGGGAGUAGGUAUGAAAGUCUUUGGUGGGAUCGAACCAAAGGUAGAACUGUUGCUCUUUGUCACCUUUGCCUUGUGUAUAUACAUUGGUGUGGACUAUGUAUGGGUCUCCGCUUAGGUUCCCCAAGAAUUCGAAGUCGAUUUCAUCCCAUGUCGACCCUUCCGAACGAAGCUGCAAUUGUCACCCCAGAUAUCAACAGAGUUCUAACAUAAAUAAGAGACAAGUAUGAUGAUAAAACUUACAUAAUAAGUGGUAACAGUGCCAGCAGAGUUGCCUGGGACCAGCUUAAUGUUCAUAUCGAUCUUCCCAAAGAGAUACUGGUUCUUGGAUUGAAAACCAGAGCCGGAGAAUUUGUCGAGGGUGAGAGUGAGAAGGUUUCCGUUUUCGAGAAUCUUGCCCCUCCCAUCUCCCCAAGUAACGUCGAUGUCUUGGUUAAAGUUGGCGGCUGAAGCAACUAUUACCAAGCUGAUUACAACAGAUACCAGCAGUGAACUCUUCAUAUUUUAUUUAUCUGUAUGGUGUUUCUAUUCUAAUUGGAUUAUGAUGUUAUGAAAUGGGGGAGUGAUAGAAGGUGGUUAUAUAGGGGGAUGAAAACAAGGUAAAGGGGGGAAACUUCGUGGUUUGUGUUUCCAUCGGGACAUUGAGUGAACCAAAGUUGUAAACAGCUGGAAACAAAAAAGUGAAAAGAAAGGAAGGAUCCCAAUCUAAUAAUACUGAGGGGUGUUUCUUGGUACCAAAAUGCAUGUUUAAUUUAUGGAUUUGGUGCCGCCUUUCUAUGUCUAGUUACAGUUCAAGCAGAUAGAUAUGCAUGUCUAGAAUUGGAUCGGUAGUUCGACACGGGCAAACCCAUACUGUAAUACACUCACUAAACUCAAACGCGGUUAUGCGCCUCUCCGUAGGCCGAGGCUUAUUUGAGUGAACUACAAGAUUCCAUUGCCCUAAACCAAUGGUGUUGCUUAAAAGUCAUUGUCACAUUGGUUGACUACGUCAGGUCAAAACUAACUUGUUUUUGGGACCAACACGUAUUCACAAAAACUCAACCACUUAAAUCAUCACAUGAUUUCUUUUUUGAUUAAAACUAAAACAAAAGAGUCUUAAAAGUAGUGGCUAAUGUUAGGAUCUUAUACUAAAGUAAGCUAUAUAGUUAUGAACUAGGUUAAACAACUUGUCACCUAUGUCUUCUGUGUUUUCUCCUCAAAACAAAAUCUUCAUCAAUUGGCUUUUACAAAAAUGAGUUGUGUGUCAUGUUACCUAUGAUAUAAUAAAAUCUUUUUUAAUUUGGAAAUUUUAUUGGAAAAGCAAUUUCUUUUAAUACGCAGAUAUAAUCUAAGAAAUUAAAUUAUGAGGGUUUGCAUCCAGUUGGAAUUGAUGGAUUACCAAAAGAGAAAGGAAGGCUCGUCAAUGGGUUGGGAAUUGGAGUGGGUGGAUAAAGAUUACAAAAUUAACUGCUGGCUGCCAAAAUGAUUAAUGUGAAUCACUUGCUUUUGAAAAAGAGAAUUUAAUUAGUUAAGCAAAUUGCAUCUCAUUUAUUAUUUUCUCAUAUAAAAAUGUUUAAUGUUAUAAUAAUUAAGUUAUUUUGGGUUUUAGAUAUAUAAUGUCAUGGUUCACACUAGAGGUGAUCAUGGGUUGGACUAUCCGGCCCGGCCCGACGGUCCGCCUGAAAAUAGGAGGGUUAGGGUAAAAAUAUAGUCCCGAAAUAUGGGUUUGGGCAAAAAAAUGAGACCCGUUUAGAAAACGGGCCGAGCUUGGGUAAAACUAUUUUAGCCCGGCCCGAAUUAUAUAUUAAAUAUAUAUUUUUAUUUUUAAUCAAAUAUAUAUUUUUUAUAUAUAUUAAAUAUAUAUUUAAUAUGGGUCGGGUCGGGCUAGGCUUGGGCUUAGCAAUUUUCUCUCAAGCCGGACAAAUUUUCAAGCUCAUAUUUCAGGCUGGGCCGAGCCUAAAAUUUUGUCUGGGCUCGGCCCGACCCAUGAUCACCUCUAGUUCACACUAUAUAUAAUGCAAAGAGUUAUUGAGGUUGGAGAUUUGUUCGAGUUUGAAGGAUGUUUGAGCAAAAUGCUAGUUAUAUAUAGUUGAUCUCCUGUGCCUAUAUGGCUACACACGUGGAAUGGAAAUUUCACGAUAAGGUUAGCUUAUUCACACAUUUUGAAUAAUAUGCAUUUUGAAGGUUCGAGAAUACAUUAUUCAAGUGUUUCAAAGAAAACAUGGAACUUUAUGUGGACAUUGAAAGUCCAUUUCAAAGUGAUUAUCUUUCUUUGGACACUCCUUGAUAAUGCCCUCCCUUGCAAACCGAGUUAAAAAAGACAAUUAACACUAUCAAUCCAAAGUUUGCUUUAUGUCAAGGAGAAGAGGACAUUAAUAAUAUAUUCAGGGAGUGUGACUUGGUCAGAGCAGAGUGAUCUGAGUUGAGAUUUGGUAUUUGUACGAGAGACACUAAUUCAUUUUAUGUGAGGGAUUGGACUAUACAAUUACUGAAAGCGGCUAGAAGGGGAGUUGCUAAUCACAUUAUUGAAAAUUUGGGUUUUAGAAACAAAGUUAUCUUUGAAGGUAUAAACCCGACCCAAUAACGGUCAUCAAGGAAGUGGAAGAGUAUAUCAAAAUAACGAGGAAAUCUCUAAAGGAAUGGAUUUCAUCCAAUUUAGAAAGGAAAAGCAACGAGGGCAUGAGGAGUGGGGAGGAAUAAUGAAGUACUUGCAUGGGUUCUUCAUAUCAGGGACUCGAAUAGAAGAUCUCUUGUGUCACAUGAAUGAAGAAUUCAACAUGACAACGAUAUAGUUAGGAAAUUGUUAGUGCUAAGGACUGUCCUGGUCAUAAUCGUCAUAAAAGGUAUCUCCUGCUACACUUUUAAGUUCAAGGACAGGUUAUUAGGACUAUCAUUGGAGGGAAGACUUGUUCAAGUCACUGAUCACACAAACCAUUGCUAGAUCACACAAACAUCGUGUUUAUGAUGAUACGAUAUGUUCAUGUACAAAAAGUAUAAAUGUAACAUAAAAAUAUUAAUAUAUCCAGAUUUAUAUUAUACUCAUUAUUAAUAUUAUUUUAAAUCACUUUAAUCGUCCAGUCAGCUCUUAAAUAUCAAUCUAAUAAUGUCGUGCCAUGGGCCAUGGAGGGAUCUUUUUCUUUGGGUACUGCAUGUAUAUCCACUCACUUUUAAGUCGGCUGACAUACAAAACACAAAUAAAUUAUAGGGAAAUAUCACAUAUAAAUACAAUAUAAUGUAAUAUAAUUGUCUCGCUUAAAAGGUUUCCAUUAUCAUAAAAUCGAAUUUUAAAAAAAAAAUUAUAAUUUGUUCAUUUAAAUAUGAGUUGGGAAAUAAUUUUUUAGUACAAAUAACAAAAUUAUAAUUAGCUCAUUUAAAUAUGAGUAGGUAUAUUAUGUUUGGUUUUUGAUGUGUUUUCAUGGGUGUGUUCUAUGUAUAUACGUGCAAGUUUUAUAUGUGUUGAUCUUAAUCUGUCACAAAUGUUGGAGGUUGAAAGCUAUGCACUUGAAACCGACUAAUUGUUAGUUGUUCCUUGCCAAUGAUUCUCACAAGCAUAUAGUUCCUCGACUUUUCACCUAUUAUCAUCUUUAAAAAAAUAUUACUCUUAUAUUUUUUUCUUUUACAUUGAUUACACCAUGCUUUUACAUAUUGACGUAAAACCUUCUGUUAGAAUUAAGUGACCCAAAUCCUUAUUUAAAUAAAAUACUGUGGUAAAAUAAAAUAAAAGUAAAAUUCCUAUAGAAUUAUAUUUCUUUUAUUUUAUUUUAGAAUAAGGUUUCUAAACCUUAUUAAACUCUAUCUAUUUGAUAUUAUUUGAAUAAGGAGUUUCACUCCUAUUAGAAUAAGGUUUACAAGCCUAUAAAUAGGCAUAGUCUACUCCUAUUGUAAUUAAGUUUUCGACAUAGUAAAUUUUCUUUUCCUCUGCCCGUGGUUUUUUUCCCGAAAGGGUUUCCACGUAAAAUUUGUGUGUUCUUUAUUUUUCUAUUUCUAUUUUUCUUUGCGAUAUAUUGUUAUUACCGACAUUAUAUUUUUCUCAAAUUGGUAUCCGAGCUUCCGGGUUGUUCAUCUCAAUCACAGUAAUGACGUCUUUGAAGUACGAAAUUCUACUGUUGGAUCGCAACACCAGAUUUGCGUUGUGACAGAUAAAGAUGCAAGCAGUUCUUGCACAGAUGGACUUAGAGGAAGCCCUACUAGGGGUAGAUAAGAUGCCUUCAACAUUGACGGAAGAAGAGAAGAAGCGCAAGGAUCGAAAGGCGUUAACACAGUUACAUCUGCAUUUGUCUAACGAAAUUUUGCAGGAUGUGAUGAGGAAAAGACUGCCGCUAGAUUAUGGAAGAGGUUGGAACAGAGAUGCAUGUCGAAAACUCUAACUAGUAAGCUACAUAUGAAGCAGCGUCUUUAAGCUCAUCGUUUGGAGGAAGGUGCAUCUAUGCACGAACACUUAACAGUGUUCAAAGAAAUUCUCUCAAACUUGGAGGCCAUGGAGGUUCAGUAUGAUAAGGAAAAUCUAGGGUUGAUUCUACUUUGUUCGUUGCCCCCGUCUUAUUCAACCUUUAGAGAUACGAUUUUAUAUAGCCGCGAGUCUCUCACAGUUGAUGAGGUUUAUGACUCUUUAACCUCGUAUAAUAAGAUGAAGCAUCUUGUGGUUAAAACUGACUCUCAGGGAGAGGGUCUUAUUGUUCGUGGGAGACAAGAUCGGAA
rnacentral:lncRNA from 1 species